UACAGAGGUCUCAAGCGUUGUUCGGAUUCAUUGGGCGUAAAGGGUGCGUAGGUGGCGGGGUAAGUCAGGUGUGAAAUCUCGGGGCUCAACCCCGAAACUGCACUUGAUACUGCCUUGCUCGAGUACUGGAGAGGAGAUUGGAAUUUACGGUGUAGCAGUGAAAUGCGUAGAUAUCGUAAGGAAGACCAGUGGCGAAGGCGAAUCUCUGGACAGUUACUGACACUGAGGCACGAAAGCGUGGGGAGCAAACAGG
rnacentral:rRNA from 1 species